rnacentral:sRNA from 1 species
CAGUCUGACGCUCUCCCAACUGAGCUAUCCCCGCUUUGUUGUUAUUCAAU